rnacentral:rRNA from 1 species
GACGAACGCUGGCGGCGUGCUUAACACAUGUAAGUCGAACGGAAAGGCCCUGCUUUUGUGGUUUGCUCGAGUGGCGAACGGGUGAGUAACACGUGAGGAACCUGCCCUUGACUUUGUGAGAACUUCAGGAAACUGGGGCGAAUACCGGAGAUGAUCUCCUGCUCCAUGGGGUUGGUUGGAAAGUUUCGGCGGUGGGGGAUCGACUGGCGGCUUAUCAGCUUGUUUGUGGGGUAGUUGCGUUCCAGGGCUUUGACGGGUAGCCGGCAUGAGAGGGUUGCCGGCCACAUUGGGACUGCGAUACGGACCAGAAUCCUACGGGCGGCAGCAGUGGGGAAUCUUGCACAAUGGGGCGACGCCUGAUGCAGAAGCGCCCCGUGCGGAAUGACCGCUUACGGGUUGUAAACAGAUUUCGAAUGUGCCGAAGCGUGAGUGACGGUACUGGGUCAGAAAGCCACGGCUAACUACGUG